rnacentral:lncRNA from 1 species
CCCAACAUCGGUAUAGUAGUAGUAGUUGUAGUAAAUUAGGUCAAAGGAUCUUAUCGCUCUGAUACCAUGUUAGAUUCGGGUUUAUUAUGGGCUUCCAACUCAAAACCAAUUGGCAAUUAGUGGAUUGGCCCUAACCCUUUAUAUAGUAGUAGAUUAAUUCUUAUAUAUCCGAUGUGGGAUGUUUCUCAUCAAUACCCUCC